GCUGGGCAUGGUAGUGUAUGCCUGUAGUCCCAGCUACUGGGGAGGCUGAGGUGGGAGGAUCGCUUGAGCUUGGGAAGUUGAGGGUGCAGUGAGCUGUGAUCAUGCCGCUGUGCUCUAGCCCAGGUGACACAGUGAGAUCCUAUCUAAA
rnacentral:SRP_RNA from 1 species